rnacentral:ncRNA from 2 species
CCUUUGACGGCGUUUUCAGGUGCCUUCAGAGACAGUCCACGCAUUGUUUCAAGGUGAAACGGGAAGCCGGUUAAAGUCCGGCACUGCCCCCGCAACGGUAAGUGAGAGUAAGGCGAAGAGUAAUGCCACUAUGCAACCGCAUGGGAAGGCGUCGCUGAUCAGUAUAUCUGAGCUCACAAGUCCGGAGACCGGCCUGGAAAUACACCGAACG